GAGUUUGAUCCUGGCUCAGGAUGAACGCUGGCGGCGUGCUUAACACAUGCAAGUCGAACGAAGCACUCUAUUUGAUUUUUUUCGGAAAUGAAGAUUUUGUGACUGAGUGGCGGACGGGUGAGUAACGCGUGGGUAACCUGCCUCAUACAGGGGGAUAACAGUUGGAAACGACUGCUAAUGCCGCAUAAGCGCACAGUACUGCAUGGUACAGUGUGAAAAACUCCGGUGGUAUGAGAUGGACCCGCGUCUGAUUAGCUAGUUGGUGGGGCAACGGCCUACCAAGGCGACGAUCAGUAGCCGGCCUGAGAGGGUGAACGGCCACAUUGGGACUGAGACACGGCCCAGACUCCUACGGGAGGCAGCAGUGGGGAAUAUUGGGCAAUGGGCGCAAGCCUGACCCAGCAACGCCGCGUGAGGGAAGAAGGCUUUCGGGUUGUAAACCUCUGUCCUUGGUGACGAAGGAAGUGACGGUAGCCAAGGAGGAAGCCCCGGCUAACUACGUGCCAGCCGCCGCGGUAAUUC
rnacentral:rRNA from 1 species